UACGUAGGUGGCAAGCGUUUUCCGGAAUUAUGGGGCGUAAAGCGCGCGCAGGUGGUUCCUUAAGUCUGAUGUGAAAGCCCACGGCUCAACCGUGGAGGGUCAUUGGAAACUGGGGAACUUGAGUGCAGAAGAGGAAAGUGGAAUUCCAAGUGUAGCGGUGAAAUGCGUAGAGAUUUGGAGGAACACCAGUGGCGAAGGCGACUUUCUGGUCUGUAACUGACACUGAGGCGAAAGCGUGGGGAGCAAACAGG
rnacentral:rRNA from 1 species